AUUGAGCGCUGGCGGAAUGCUUUACACAUGCAAGUCGAACGGCAGCACGGGGGCAGUCCUGGUGGCGAGUGGCGAACGGGUGAGUAAUACAUCGGAACGUGCCCGGUCGUGGGGGAUAACGUAGCGAAAGUUACGCUAAUACCGCAUACGAUCUGAGGAUGAAAGCGGGGGACCUUCGGGCCUCGCGCGAUCGGAGCGGCCGAUGUCAGAUUAGGUAGUUGGUGGGGUAAAGGCCUACCAAGCCGACGAUCUGUAGCUGGUCUGAGAGGACGACCAGCCACACUGGGACUGAGACACGGCCCAGACUCCUACGGGAGGCAGCAGUGGGGAAUUUUGGACAAUGGGCGCAAGCCUGAUCCAGCCAUUCCGCGUGCAGGACGAAGGCCUUCGGGUUGUAAACUGCUUUUGUACGGAACGAAAAGGCUCUGGCUAAUACCUGGGGCUCAUGACGGUACCGUAAGAAUAAGCACCGGCUAACUACGUG
rnacentral:rRNA from 1 species